rnacentral:rRNA from 1 species
GAUGAACGCUAGCGGCAGGCUUAACACAUGCAAGUCGCGGGGCAGCGCGGGUAGCAAUACCUGGCGGCGACCGGCGGAAGGGUGCGUAACGCGUGAGCAACAUGCCCGUAUCAGGGGGAUAACCGAUGGAAACGUCGCCUAAUACCCCAUAACAACGAGGGCCGCAUGGUCCAUGUUUGAAAGUUACGGCGGAUACGGAUUGGCUCGCGUGACAUUAGCUUGUUGGCGGGGUAACGGCCCACCAAGGCGACGAUGUCUAGGGGUUCUGAGAGGAAGGUCCCCCACACUGGAACUGAGACACGGUCCAGACUCCUACGGGAGGCAGCAGUGAGGAAUAUUGGUCAAUGGGCGCAAGCCUGAACCAGCCAUGCCGCGUGCAGGAAUGAGGCCCUAUGGGUCGUAAACUGCUUUUGCUGCGGAGCAAUAAGUGCCACGUGUGACACGAUGAGAGUACGCAGCGAAUAAGCAUCGGCUAACUCCGUGCCAGCAGCCGCGGUAAUACGGAGGAUGCGAGCGUUAUCCGGAUUUAUUGGGUUUAAAGGGUGCGUAGGCUGUUUGUCAAGUCAGGGGUGAAAUACCCGGGCCCAACCUGGGAACUGCCUUUGAUACUGGCAGGCUUGAAUACUGUUGCCGUGGGAGGAAUGAGUAGUGUAGCGGUGAAAUGCAUAGAUAUUACUCAGAACACCGAUUGCGAAGGCAUCUCACGAAACAGCGAUUGACGCUGAGGCACGAAAGCGUGGGGAGCAAACA